CACAGAGUUAGCCGGUGCUUCUUCUGUAGGUAACGUCAACGCUGUGUACUAUUAACACACAACGCUUCCUCCCUACUGAAAGUGCUUUACAACCCGAAGGCCUUCUUCACACACGCGGCAUGGCUGGAUCAGGCUUGCGCCCAUUGUCCAAUAUUCCCCA
rnacentral:rRNA from 1 species